GGUAUGAAGAGAGUAAUCCAGUUGGCUGACUGACAGAGUCUUUGCACCAUAUCCACUUCGGUAAGAUGAAGAGGUGUCCAGAGUGACCAUUUGAGCCUAGAUAAAUACCUGCAGCAGGGGAAAUUUUUUCUAUACAGCAGAACCAUUGUGCAGAGCCCAAGGUUCUAUCAAGCAUGACCAUGUUGAUAUAAGCCCUAACAUGAUGUCUGGCCCCUCUCUGUGACAUCUACAGCGGUAUUCUAAAGUAAAAUCCAAAUGGCAAAAAUAUUAUCCUACUCAGCUAUAGUCACAGAUUAGCUAUUAGACCCUCAAUUCUACUGUUUGGAUUAUUUUGGAAUUUAGUGAAAAGCCC